rnacentral:rRNA from 1 species
GCGGUGGAGCAUGUGGUUAAUUCGAAGCAACGCGAAGAACCUUACCAGUCUUGACAUCCCGAUGCUAUUUCUAGAGAUAGAAAGUUACUUCGGUACAUCGGUGACAGGUGGUGCAUGGUGUCGUCAGCUCGUGUCGUGAGAUGUUGGGUUAAGUCCCGCAACGAGCGCAACCCCUAUUGUUAGUUGCCAUCAUUCAGUUGGGCACUCUAGCGAGACUGCCGGUAAUAAACCGGAGGAAGGUGGGGAUGACGUCAAAUCAUCAUGCCCCUUAUGACCUGGGCUACACACGUGCUACAAUGGUUGGUACAACGAGUUGCGAGUCGGUGACGGCGAGCUAAUCUCUUAAAGCCAAUCUCAGUUCGGGUUGUAGGCUGCAACUCGCCUACAUGAAGUCGGAAUCGCUAGUAAUCGCGGAUCAGCACGCCGCGGUCGAAUACGUUCCCGGGCCUU